UGAGGAAUAUUGGUCAAUGGGCGCAAGCCUGAACCAGCCAUCCCGCGUGCAGGAAGACCGCCCUAUGGGUUGUAAACUACUUUUCCAGGGGGAGAAUUUUUCUGUCGUGACAGGAAUUGACGGUACCCUGGGAAUAAGCAUCGGCUAACUCCGUGCCAGCAGCCGCGGUAAUACGGAGGAUGCGAGCGUUAUCCGGAUUUAUUGGGUUUAAAGGGUGCGUAGGCGGAUCGAUAAGUCAGUGGUGAAAACCUGCAGCUUAACUGUAGACUUGCCGUUGAUACUGUCAGUCUUGAGUGUGGUCAAGGUAGGCGGAAUGUGUAAUGUAGCGGUGAAAUGCUUAGAUAUUACACAGAACACCGAUUGCGAAGGCAGCUUACUGGGCCAUUACUGACGCUGAUGCACGAAAGCGUGGGGAUCGAACAG
rnacentral:rRNA from 1 species